rnacentral:lncRNA from 1 species
AAAUCCAUGGAAGAUGUUUCCAUGUAAAAUGAGUGGUUUUAUCACUUAUUUUCUCUUGUUUGGUUGGUGAGUGAAAAAACUUUUCCGGAAAGUAUUUUUUACAUGAGCAUUUAUACAAUAUUCCCUAAAGAUCCGGAUGUCACUGAGUACAUGAGUAUUUAUAAAAUAAUAUGGUCCGAAAUACUGAAACACCAUAUAGGAAAGUAGAACAAUAUAUGUAAAUAAAACUAACAGAUAAAGAAGGAGAGUCAAGGUCUGUGGACGUCAGAGCAGCUACCUCGAAAAUCUUUGAACUGAUAAAGCUCCGAAAACCAGCAAACCACUGUAUCCGGAAGUACCUGAAUCUGCGCCCGAAGUGCAGGGUGUGUACAACCAACCCAGUAAGUAACAAGUCUAACCUUUGAGCUGAAAGCAGUGACGAGCCCAACAGGUACAGUGCAAAUAUAGAAAUAAAAGUACAAAAAUAUAUACAUGCUUUCAAGUUCAACAGUUAAAGCUCAAACAGGUAAAAUAUGCCAAGUGUAACUGAAAUGAGGAAUGAUACGUCUCGAUAUUUACAUUUCAAUUAUGUAUGCCAACUGUAAUGCAAAACACUGAUGAAAUCAUACGGAUACUCUCAGAGUAUCAAAUCACUCAGUCCUUACAUUCACUCAAUCCUCACAGUCAGUCAUUCCUCACAAUCACUUAGUCCUCAUAGCCACUCAAUCCUACCAAUAGCUCGGCACUCGCACUCAACACUCGCACUCGCACUCACACUUAGUAGGUCAUGCACUCACUGUUGAUAAGUCAGACUCCGGAGGGGCGGAUACAGCCCAAGCACUAUAAUAAGUCAAUCAUGGCAUGAACUAAUAAAGCAUAUUGUGGCAUGCAGCCCGAUCCCAUAAAUAUCCUCACAAUCAGUCCCUCGGCCUCACUUAGUCAUCAGUCUCUACAGUCUCUCGAGCUCACAAGUCUUAUGAUAUUCAGCCCAAACAAUGAUGAUUUGAUGCAUCAAUAAAUGGCAACAGAGACUGAGAUAUGAUAUGCAAAUAAUAGCUGUGACUGAGUACAUGAUUGCAAAUUAAGCAAGUAAUUUAACAGCAACACGACCUCUACGGGUCCCAACAAUACCAACAUAUGGCCUAAGCAUAAUUUCUAACAAGAAUCACAUCUCAAUUUCUUUAACACAUGGGAAAUACGUGGAAAGUGACAAGUUAUAUGACUACACAGUUCCACGGAGUCAACCGAGUCACAAUUCUUACGGUGUACGCCUACAUGCCUGUCACCUAGCAUGUGCGUCACCUCAAUACCAAUCACAUAACACCUAAUUCGGGGAUUUAUACCCUCAAAACCAUGUUUAGAAGUGUUACUUACCUCAAGCCGUGCAAAUCUCUACUCCAAUAAUCUCUUGCCUUAUGAAUCGGCCUCGGAAUGACUCGAAUCUGGCUACAAAAAACACGAUACAAUCAACACAAGCCAUAGGAAUCAUUUCAAUAUGAAAAAACUAAGUUGUUAAGCAAAAGUCAAAAAGUCAACUCAAAAAAAUAACUGCGGACCCACAUCUCGAAAGCUUAUAAAAGUUUCAAAAUCCGAACACCCAUUCAACCACGAGUCCAACCAUACCAAAUUUAUCAAAUUCCGAUACAAAAUCGUCACUCAAAUGCCCAAAUUUUAUUUUUUAAUCUCUAGCCUAAAACUCCCAAAAUUUCACCUCGCAAAUACAUAAACUAGGUGAAAAAUUCAAUAGGUAAUUAAUAUUAUUGCAUACAAAUGAUCAAGAGUGACUUACCUCGAGAAACCCCUCGAAAUCCCUCUCAAAAGCGCCUUAAUUCGAGUUUGCAAAGUCCAAAAAUGAUAAAACCUCGGAACCCUAUGUUUAUAUUCUGCCCAGUGCUUUUCGCACCUGGGACCAACUUGACCAUAUUUGCGGUUCUCCUGGCAACCUCCUGUGCUCACACCUGCAGACAAGGUUCCGCAUCUGCGGAGCCGCACCGACAACCAACAUUUUCACGACUCUAUUUUUCUUGAAGAAUUUAAUUAUUCUUCUAAAAAUUCACACAAACCCAAAGAAACUAAUGUGCUGCUUUAUAUUUUUACGCAAAAGUAAUGUUUAAAUUUGUGCUCCAUAACUAAAAAGAAAAUACUCUAUUUUUAGUUGAAAAAGAAAGUACUCUUUCUACAACAUGAAAAUAAAGUACUCAUUUUAUUAAAAGAAAAGAAAAUACUUUUUCUACACCAUGAAAAGAAAAUAUUCAUUUUGUUGAAUUGAAAAAAAAAACUUUUUCUACAUCAUGAAAAUAAUAUUUUUUUGUUGAAAUGAAAGAAAAACUUUUUCUAUGAAAAAAGAAAGUAUAUGUUUUUGUUGAAAUGAAAAAAAUACUUUUUUAUAUCAUGUAAAAAAAAUAGUCAUUUGUUGAAAUACAAAAAUGAAAUAUAUCUAUAACAUUAAAAAAAGUACUAUUAAUAAUAUUUUUAUUUGGGGCGGGGGUGGGGGUGAGAGGAUGGGUGGGUAGGCGGAGGUGGGGCGGGGGUUAGGUUGGGGUUGUGUGGGUUGAUGGGGAUAGGGAAUAGGGUGAAGAAAGUUAAAAAGGAGUUUUAGAAAAUAUUUUUCCUUCUCUUGAUAGGGAAAAUAUUUUUCUCCAAUUGGAUGAAAAUGAGUUCAUGAGAAAAAUAUUUUUCAAAAUAUUUAAGCCAACCAAACAUUCCGGAAAAUAUUUUCCGGAAAAUAUUUUUUCCUUCGUAGCAAACACACCCUUAGUCUUUCCAUACUUGUUCUUCUACAUUUGGAGGCCGGUUUACAAAGUAACAUAUAAGAAAAUGAGAAGAGCAUUCUGUUAGAGCUGAAGCAACUAUGGGGAAAUCAGUUAGGAUUCGAGUCGUUGAAUUCCUAUACCUCAUAUUGCAAUUGAUUUGUGUAGAAUGCAGAAAAGGUUCUGACAAGCAUCCAUCUCGGAGAGAAACAACUUACUGGAAUAAUUCCACCAAUUAUAUAUGGACUCAAAAAGCCUAGAAGCUAUGUUGCUCGAACUCUCCAAAAGUGCUGCCCCACCCGUGUCGGAUCCUUCAAAAAUGCACUAAAUUUGAAGGAUCCGACACGCACCCAAUAAUAUUUUUGAAGAGUCCGAGUAACAUAGCCUAGAAGUGAUAACAAAUUUUCUGGGGACCGGGUUUACCCACUAUAGCUGGAAUUUUAAGAUUAAGAACAUUAGGUCUUUGGUUGAAUUAUUAGGUGAGUACAUGGAAAAUCAAAGCUUAGACAAGUGGCUUCAUCACAAGAGAUCAAUAAGUGAAAAAGCUAUUACUGCUUCAGCACAUUCUGUCUUGGAAUGGAAUACUAGACUGCAAAAUUGCAGUUGGAGCUCUAUGAUACAUGCAUCACGAGUGCUCCCCACCAAUCAUUCAUCGCGACAUUAAGUGUAGCAAUAUCCUUUUAGACCAUGAAUUGAAUGCCAAAAUUGCAGAUUUUGGACUGGCUAAGGUUUUGGCUAAGUGGGGAGAGACGGAGACUGCUUCUGCUAUCGCUGGCACGUUUUGUAACCUUGCACCAGGUAUAUCUCAUUAUUAGAAUACGAGUUAUGUUUCUUAUUCUUGAAAUUUAAGAGUUUGCAUCUACGUCAAAACUGAAUGUCAAGAGUGAUGUCUACAGCUUUGGUGUGGUAUUAGUGAAGGAAGUUUUGCAAAUUCUAUAACUGGGCAUUUGGACAUAAAAAUUGUAAAAUUCCAAAAAAAGAGAAAAAGAAUUUCAAGGGAAAAUGGUAUUUGAAAAUUAGAGUUGUGUUCGGACAUGAAUAUAAUUUUGGGUUGUUUUUAAAUUUUUGUGAGUGAUCUGAUUGAACAUUUUGAAAAACAGCUUUUUGGAGUUUUUUAAAUUCUUGAAAAAUUCUAAAAUUCAUUUUCAAGAGAAAAUUGAAAAUUUUAUGGCCAAACACUAAUUUCGAAAAAAGUAAAACUUUUUCAAAAAAAAGUGAAAAAUUUACAAGAAUAAUUUACUAACUAAUUUACAAGAAUUCAACUAUUUUUUUCUAACAUUCAAAUAAUGAAAAUAUACCAAAAAUAUAUAACUAACCUUGUUAUCGGAGAACACUGCUGCUGGAAGGGAGAGGAAGAGAAGACCCUAAGCUCUCUCGCUCAACCCGAAGCUUCGCCGCCGGAAGAAAAAAGAAGUUAAGAUUCCGCCGUCGUCGUUGGAGAGGAUGAGAGGGAAAAAUACCGUGAAGAGGGGAGGUGGUGAAAGUGUUCCGCCAUGGAGACAGGAAGGAGGUGGGAGUGUU